rnacentral:rRNA from 1 species
GAGUUGAUCAUGGCUCAGAUUGAACGCUGGCGGCAGGCCUAACACAUGCAAGUCGAGCGGUAGAGAGAAGCUUGCUUCUCUUGAGAGCGGCGGACGGGUGAGUAAUGCCUAGGAAUCUGCCUGGUAGUGGGGGAUAACGCUCGGAAACGGACGCUAAUACCGCAUACGUCCUACGGGAGAAAGCAGGGGACCUUCGGGCCUUGCGCUAUCAGAUGAGCCUAGGUCGGAUUAGCUAGUUGGUGAGGUAAUGGCUCACCAAGGCGACGAUCCGUAACUGGUCUGAGAGGAUGAUCAGUCACACUGGAACUGAGACACGGUCCAGACUCCUACGGGAGGCAGCAGUGGGGAAUAUUGGACAAUGGGCGAAAGCCUGAUCCAGCCAUGCCGCGUGUGUGAAGAAGGUCUUCGGAUUGUAAAGCACUUUAAGUUGGGAGGAAGGGCAGUAAAUUAAUACUUUGCUGUUUUGACGUUACCGACAGAAUAAGCACCGGCUAACUCUGUGCCAG